GAUAGGUUCUUUUGAAUUUAAUCUUUCAAAUUAUUAAAGGGACAUCUAAAUUAUCGAUAAUUCAAUAAACUCGUUAUAUAAUAAUAUAAUAUAAUGUCAACAGUUAAAACUUGAAUUAACACUUGUAACGUUUCGAAAUACAAAUAAUUAUAAUAAUAUAACUUAUUAAAUAGGAAUUACAUUCUAAACCGCAGAGAUUUAGUGCGUUAUACUAAUAAUCUAAAUUGGCGCUUUACAAUAACAAUUUUAUACCUUUUAUAUAAUUUACGGAAAAGCAAUUCAGUAUUUGUCAAACACUUAAUAUAUUUUAGACAUAACAUUGUUACACAUGCUAGAAGUACUAUUUAUUGUGGUCACAAUGAUGUGCUACAAACAUCUUUUGUUCGAUCAAUCGAAGGUCGAACUACAAUUUGUAUUAAUAUGGUAAUAUGUAAUACCGUAAUCGCAAUAAAAUAAAAAUAGAUAAAUUAAUAGAUUAAUCGAUAUUUUCUCAAUAUGUUACAUUCUUUAAGUGCAUUACAAAUACAACGUUUAGUGUCUGAGAUGCAUAAAAUGUUUUGUUAAAUUUAUUUAAUAGUAGGAUUUGUCGAAAGCAUAUACGGUUCAUGAAAUAAUGUAAGAUGGUUUGUAACUUGGUUUACUGAUUAGACGUUGAUUUACUAAACUAAUUACCUAGAGAAAUGAUUAUAAUACAUCGAUAACAUCACACUUUAAAAUGCGCACAAAUAUGAAAAUUGUAUCGUUAUACUAUAGGAAAAUAUAAUUUGUUGAGACUAUAAAGCUUUCAGUACACUAAAUAUAUAAAUAAACCAAUAUUUUAAGUGUUUUAUAGCCAAAUUUGGAUCUCUUAUGGAGUUAAUAGAUUUAAUAGUUUUAAUGAUUUGUUAAAGAUCUAAUAAUGGUUUAUUCAA